rnacentral:rRNA from 1 species
CCUACGGGAGGCAGCAGUGAGGAAUAUUGGUCAAUGGUCGGAAGACUGAACCAGCCAUGCCGCGUGCAGGAAGAAUGCCUUAUGGGUUGUAAACUGCUUUUAUAUGGGAAGAAUAAGGAGUACGCGUACUUUGAUGACGGUACCAUAUGAAUAAGCAUCGGCUAACUCCGUGCCAGCAGCCGCGGUAAUACGGAGGAUGCGAGCGUUAUUCGGAAUCAUUGGGUUUAAAGGGUCUGUAGGCGGGCUAUUAAGUCAGGGGUGAAAGGUUUCAGCUUAACUGAGAAAUUGCCUUUGAUACUGGUAGUCUUGAAUAUCUGUGAAGUUCUUGGAAUGUGUAGUGUAGCGGUGAAAUGCUUAGAUAUUACACAGAACACCGAUUGCGGAGGCAGGGGACUAACAGACGAUUGACGCUGAGAGACGAAAGCGUGGGGAGCGAACAGGAUUAGAUACCCUAGUAGUC